rnacentral:snoRNA from 1 species
UGCAGAUGAUGUAAUUAAUAUUUGCUAUCUUAACAGCAUUGCAGACAAUCUUCCACCAAGAUCGCUGAUGCA